rnacentral:rRNA from 1 species
GAUGAACGCUGGCGGCGUGCCUAAUACAUGCAAGUCGAGCGAACAGACGAGGAGCUUGCUCCUUUGACGUUAGCGGCGGACGGGUGAGUAACACGUGGAUAACCUACCUAUAAGACUGGGAUAACUUCGGGAAACCGGAGCUAAUACCGGAUAACAUGUUGAACCGCAUGGUUCAACAGUGAAAGACGGUCUUGCUGUCACUUAUAGAUGGAUCCGCGCCGCAUUAGCUAGUUGGUAAGGUAACGGCUUACCAAGGCAACGAUGCGUAGCCGACCUGAGAGGAAGGGCGGCCACCCGGAAAGGGAGACCGGCCCCAGAUGCCUGGGGGGGCGGCAAGGAGGAAUUCGGCAGGAAGGGGGGGAGACUAGAGGGAAAAGGGCGGAGUGCGGAAGAAGGGUCGCCGGAUGGGAAAACUUGGUUAUUGGGGAGAAAAAAGUUUUAAAGUAAGAAGACGCGUCUGGGAGGGAAAUAAGAAAAGAACCAGGGCAAAACUAGGG